rnacentral:rRNA from 1 species
GCAUAUCAAUAAGCGGAGAAAAAGAAAAUAACAAUGAUUUCCCUAGUAACGGCGAGUGAAGAGGAAAGAGCUCAAAGUUGGAACCUGUUUGGCUUAGCUAAACCGGAUUGUAAACUGUAGAAGUGUUUUCCAGACACGCCUGGUAAAAAAGUCCUUUGGAACAGGGCAUCAUAGAGGGUGAGAAUCCCGUCAUUGGCCAGAGCUGUUGUCUUUUGUGAUACAUUUUCAAAGAGUCAGGUUGUUUGGGAAUGCAGCCUAAAUUGGGUGGUAAAUCUCACCUAAAGCUAAAUAUUUGCGAGAGACCGAUAGCGAACAAGUACCGUGAGGGAAAGAUGAAAAGAACUUUGAAAAGAGAGUUAAACAGUAUGUGAAAUUGUUAAAAGGGAACCGUUUGGAGCCAGACUGGCUUAACUGUAAUCAAUCUAGGCUUUGGCCUGGAUGCACUUGCGGUUUAUGCCGGCCAACGACAGUUUUGUUUGAGGGAAAAAAUUACAUUGAAUGUGGCCCUUCGGGGUGUUAUAGCUUUGUAAAAAAUACCUUGGACUGGACUGAGGAACGCAGUGAAUGCCUUUAGGCAAGAUUGCUGGGUGCUUUCGCUAAUAAAUGCUAGAAUUUCUGCUUCGGGUGGUGCUAGUGUUUAAAGGAGGAACUCGCUUAGUAUAUUUUUUAUUCGCUUAGGUUGUUGGCUUAAUGACUCUAAAUGACCCGUCUUGAAACACGGACCAAGGAGUCCACCAUAAGUGCGAGUAUUUGGGUGACAAACCCAUAUGCGCAAGGAAACUGAUUGAUACGAAGGCUUUAAGCUGGCAGUAUCACCCGGCGUUGACGUUUUAUACUGAACUGACCGAGGUAAAGCACUUAUGAUGGGACCCGAAAGAUGGUGAACUAUGCCUGAAUAGGGUGAAGCCGGAGGAAACUCCGGUGGAGGCUCGUAGCGAUUCUGACGUGCAAAUCGAUCGUCAAAUUUGGGUAUAGGGGCGAAAGACUAAUCGAACCAUCUAGUAGCUGGUCUGC